AGCUGCACCGAAGACGACUUGCUGGAAGUGUUUUCCGAGGCUGGCCAGGUAGGAGAGGUCGUCAUUGUCCGCGAUGACACGGGACGGAAUC
rnacentral:rRNA from 1 species